AUUGAACGCUGGCGGCAGGCCUAACACAUGCAAGUCGAACGAGUGGCGGACGGGUGAGUAAUGUCUGGGAAACUGCCUGAUGGAGGGGGAUAACUACUGGAAACGGUAGCUAAUACCGCAUACCAUCAGAUGUGCCCAAAUGGGAUUAGCUUGUUGGGGGGGUAACGGCUCACCAAGGCGAGGAUCCCUAGCUGGUCUGAGAGGAUGACAAGCCACACGGGAACUGAGACACGGUCCAGAGUCCUACGGGAGGCAGAAGUGGGGAAUAGUGCACAAUGGGCACAAGCCUGAUGCAGCCAUGCAGAGUGUAUGAAGAAGGCCUUCGGGUUGUAAAGGACUUUCAGCGGGGAGGCGUUACCCGCAGAAGAAGCACCGGCUAACUCCGUGCCAGCAGCCGCGGUAAUUC
rnacentral:rRNA from 1 species